rnacentral:rRNA from 1 species
UACAGAGGGCGCAAGCGUUGUUCGGAUUCAUUGGGCGUAAAGGGUGCGUAGGUGGCGGGGUAAGUCUGGUGUGAAAUCUCGGGGCUCAACCCCGAAACUGCACUGGAUACUGCCUUGCUAGAGUACUGGAGAGGAGAUUGGAAUUUACGGUGUAGCGGUGAAAUGCGUAGAUAUCUGGAGGAACACCGGUGGCGAAGGCGACAUCCUGGACCGGUAUUGACGCUGAGGCGCGAAAGCCAGGGGAGCAAACGGG